rnacentral:tRNA from 1 species
GCGUGGGUGGCUCAGUCAGUUGAGCGUCUGACUUCGGCUCAGAUCAUGAUCUCACUGCUCAUGAGUUCAAGCCUCACAUCAGGCU